rnacentral:rRNA from 1 species
GGGUGCGAUCAUUUCAGCACUAAUGCACGGGAUUCCAUCAGAACUCGUAAGUUAAGCGUGCUUGGGUAAGAAUAGUUCUAAGAUGAGCUUGUCCUAUGACUUUCAUAGACACAGGCU